AACUCAACGCGGAACUACAUGAAACAGUGGCGCAUGUCUGCAAUCUUCAAACCUGUGAGCCAUGUCAUUUUUGAUAUGGAUGGAUUAUUAUUAGACACAGAGCGCCUGUACACUGUGUCCUUCCAGGAAAUCUGUGACCGCUAUGACAAGCAGUACACAUGGGAUGUGAAGUCGUCAGUGAUGG